GCGCAGCAGUCGCGAAUCUUCCUCAAUGCCCGCAAGGGUGAAGGAGCGACGCCGCGUGCAGGAAGACGCAUUUCGGUGUGUAAACUGCUUUUCUGUCCGAAGAAAUUGUGCCUUUCGGGGUGCAUUUGACGGUAGGACAGGAAUAAGGACCUCCUAAUUUCGUGCCAGCAGGAGCGGUAAUACGAAAGGUCCAAGCGUCAUCCGGUUUUAUUGGGCGUAAAGCGUCCGCAGGCGGUUUAAGAAGUUUUCGGUCAAAUCCCGGGGCCCAACCCCGGAACUGCUGAAAAAACUCUUAAACUAGAGGGUGGAGAGGCCAGUGGAAUGGCUGGUGUAGGAGUCAAAAUCCGUUAAUAUCAGCUAGAACACCAAAAGGCGAAGGCAGCUGGCUAGAACACACCUGACGCUCAGGGACGAAAAGCGUGGGGAGCGAAAGCGGAUUAGAUACCGGUAGUCU
rnacentral:rRNA from 1 species